rnacentral:ncRNA from 1 species
CACGCUGGAAAGCAGGGCGCGAACCGCCCUCGCCGAAGGAGCAAGGCGCGCGGGCCCGUCAGAGGUCGCCGCUGAAUCUCUCAGGCCCAAGGACAGCGGGGG